rnacentral:rRNA from 1 species
AGAGUUUGAUCAUGGCUCAGGACGAACGCUGGCGGCGUGCCUAAUACAUGCAAGUCGAGCGAAUCUUAAGGUGCUUGCACCUUUUGGUUAGCGGCGGACGGGUGAGUAACACGUGGGCAACCUGCCUGUAAGACUGGGAUAACUUCGGGAAACCGGAGCUAAUACCGGAUAAUUCCUUUCCACACAUGUGGGAAGGCUGAAAGACGGUUUCGGCUGACACUUACAGAUGGGCCCGCGGCGCAUUAGCUAGUUGGUGAGGUAACGGCUCACCAAGGCGACGAUGCGUAGCCGACCUGAGAGGGUGAUCGGCCACACUGGGACUGAGACACGGCCCAGACUCCUACGGGAGGCAGCAGUAGGGAAUCUUCCGCAAUGGACGAAAGUCUGACGGAGCAACGCCGCGUGAGCGAUGAAGGCCUUCGGGUCGUAAAGCUCUGUUGUUAGGGAAGAACAAGUACCGGAGUAACUGCCGGUACCUUGACGGUACCUAACCAGAAAGCCACGGCUAACUACGUGCCAGCAGCCGCGGUAAUACGUAGGUGGCAAGUGUUGUCCGGAAUUAUUGGGCGUAAAGCGCGCGCAGGCGGUCCUUUAAGUCUGAUGUGAAAGCCCACGGCUCAACCGUGGAGGGUCAUUGGAAACUGGGGGACUUGAGUGCAGAAGAGGAAAGCGGAAUUCCACGUGUAGCGGUGAAAUGCGUAGAGAUGUGGAGGAACACCAGUGGCGAAGGCGGCUUUCAGGUCUGUAACCGACGCUGAGGCGCGAAAGCGUGGGGAGCAAACAGGGUUAGAUACCCUGGUAGUCCACGCCGUAAACGAUGAGUGCUAAGUGUUAGAGGGUUUCCGCCCUUUAGUGCUGCAGCUAACGCAUUAAGCACUCCGCCUGGGGAGUACGGCCGCAAGGCUGAAACUCAAAGGAAUUGACGGGGGCCCGCACAAGCGGUGGAGCAUGUGGUUUAAUUCGAAGCAACGCGAAGAACCUUACCAAGACUUGACAUCC